CUGUAGGCUGCAACCCGCCUACAUGAAGUCGGAAUUGCUAGUAAUCGCGGAUCAGCAUGCCGCGGUGAAUACGUUCCCGGGCCUUGUACACACCGCCCGUCACACCAUGGGAGUUGGUAACACCCGAAGUCAGUAGCCUAACCGCAAGGAGGGCGCUGCCGAAGGUGGGAUCGAUGACUGGGGUGAAGUCGUAACAAGGUACC
rnacentral:rRNA from 1 species